rnacentral:tRNA from 1 species
GGGGUUGUGGUCCAGUGGAAGAGCUGCUGUUUUGCCAGCAGAAGGUCCCAGGUUCAAUCCCUCAUAUCUCCG